rnacentral:rRNA from 1 species
AGCGUAGACGGAGUGGCAAGUCUGAUGUGAAAACCCCGGGGGCUCAACCCCGGGACUGCAUUGGAAACUGUCAAUCUAGAGUACCGGAGAGGUAAGCGGAAUUCCUAGUGUAGCGGUGAAAUGCGUAGAUAUUAGGAGGAACACCAGUGGCGAAGGCGGCUUACUGGACGGUAACUGACGUUGAGGCUCGAAAGCGUGGGGAGCAAACA